GCUGUUGGGUGAGGCCUGGCCCGGU
rnacentral:piRNA from 1 species